GGGUUUGGGCUGUGAUUUCUUUUUAGAAUUCUUGGAGAACUGUUGGUCCACAGCCAGCCUUAUUGCUGGGAAGGGAAGUGAUUUGAUGCAAGGCUAGUCAGUGUGCUCCUUGCUUGGGCCAGGUGGCCCGAGUCUAGCCCUUACCUUAACCUCCUCCUCCAGCUGCCUCUUGAGGUCCUCCAGCUGCUGGGUGUAGGUGAGCUUGCCUCGGGUCAGCUGGGAGAUCAGUGCCUCCUUCUCAUCCAGCUGCCGGGACAGCUCACCUGGGGAAGCACCAUUCUAGAUCAGCACUCCUCUCUAUCCCCACCUCCUCCUCUAGCCCUCAGGCCCCAUUUUCUGGAGAGACUCUGUGUCUGUGUGUGCGUGUAUUGGCUUGUGCCCGAGGCUGGAGUGGCUCAGGAGGUUGGGGAGACUGUGGUGGGAACCAUGGAGCCCCUGCUCUAGGCUCACCAUUCUCGGUUUGCAACUUGGCCCGCUGGCUGGUGAGGUCGUUGACAGAACGCUGGGUCUCCUCCGCCUUGCUCCGGUGCUCAUUCAUCUGGUCUUCCAAGGUCCGGCACAUCUUCUCCAGGUUCUGCUUCACCCGCUGCAGGUUGUCGAUCUGCUCGCCCAGCUCGGCCACGCUGUCGGCGUGCUUCUUGCGCAGGGCCGCGGCAGUGGCCUCGUGCUGCAGCGUGGCCUCCUCCAGGUCCCGCCGCAUCUUCUGGAACUCGGCCUCGCGCUUCUUGUUCAUCUCGAUCUGCACGGACGUGGCCCCGCCGGCCUCUUCCAGCCGCUCGCUGAUCUCCUCCAGCUCCCGAGACAGGUCUGAGCGCAGCUUCUCCACCUUAGCCCUGGCGGUGCGCUCGGCCUCCAGCUCCUCCUCCAGCUCCUCGAUGCGUGCCUGGUCAGACACAAAGGGCUCAGACCCACCGCCUGGACCCCUCCACUGGAAUCCCCCCGGCUCUAAAAGGCUCUCGGCUUCUCUGGAACAGCAAGUCAGUUUAGCUCUUCCAGUGGAGAGGUGGGAAUUAAAGGAUUUGGGGAAGAUAGUUUGAAGAGCCUUCCUUUAGGCGAGGGCCUGACAGUCUACAUGCUCUUUAUUGGAAGGAAAGUGGUUGAAACUUGCUCUUAAAGAUGGACAAAGAGACCUGUGUUCUGGGGAUAUUUUAAGCAGUUUAGUCAUAAAAAAAUAACAAAAGUUGAAAAUGAGAGAGCCGUAUUUGUCUGACCAGACAACUAAAGACCUAACACAGCUUCUGCUCUAGAGUAAGGAGGAAAGUCAUGCCAUCAGAGUCGAAGGACUCUUAAAAACCUCCAUGUAACAGGGGAGGGCAUGGAGACCCAGAGAUCUGGAGUGGGCUCCCAGAGGUCACCCAACUAAGGCAGAGCUGAGACAGGAAGCCAGGAAUUCUGCCCUCCAGGCCUGUGACCUUUUCAGGGUCUCUGUGGAUCACCUGACCCCUUUUGGAUGUAUCCAUGGGCACACUGUGAUAGCUGCGUGCCUGCCUCCAUGGACACAUAAUCAGUUCCUGUAAUGCUGUGAACAGGACACCCUAGAGGAGGGGGCAGGGGAAACAGAACCAGCCCAGGGACUCAGCAUCCCGCGUGGGUGUCCAGACCUCACCUGAAGCUCCUUGAGCUUCUUCUGCAGCUGGCUGCCGAGGGCCUGUUCAUCCUCAAUCCUUGCGUUGAGAGCAUUCAGCUCAAAGUCUUUUCUGUGGGGAAGGAGGGAUGGUGAGGUAAGGGAGACUCGUGGGGCCUCAGGAGGGUCCACCAGUGGUUGAAAAUGGUAAUGAUACAGGUAAAGAGUAGGAUUUCAUUAGAAAAACAGCUUCUGGGGGUGAUGUAGGAUCCCUGGAAGUGUAACACCUGCGGUGAGAUUGAAAUCCAACAAGAAUGUAAUGGGAGGAGUGCUGUAGACAGGGUGAUGGGGCCUGGGCUCUACAGGACAUUCCCAUCUUUGGUCCUUGUUUUCUCAUAAUGUAAAAUGAGGGGGUCGGACUAGAUUGUUUCAAAGGUCCUUUUUAGCUCUGAUGGUCUUUAAUUUUGUCACUAUUGCUUUGGGUAACUCAGCUAACCUUUCUGAAACUUAUUUUCCUCUUUGGUAAAGUGAAAUUAAAGAUACCAUCCUUAAAAGGUGUUUUGAGAA
rnacentral:lncRNA from 1 species